GCAGAAGCUGCGGGGCAGCGACUACCCCCUGAUCGCCCGUGUGCUGCAGGGCCCCUGUGAACAGGUCUCCAAGGUUUUCCUCAUGGAGAAGGACCAGGUGGAGGAGGUCACCUAUGACGUCGCUCAGUACAUCAAGUUUGAGAUGCCCAUCCUCAGGAGCUUCAUCCAGAAGCUGGAGGAGGAGGAGGAUCGUGAAGUGAAGAAGCUGAUGCAGAAAUACACCAUCCUCCGGGUGAUGAUCAAGCAGAGGCUGGAGGAGAUCUCGGAAGGUCCGACUGCGAUGUGAGACCCUUCAGCAGAGCCAUGUGCCUGUAGGAUGUACUGUACCAAAUCCCAAAGCCCCAGCAUUCCCAGCACAUUCCCAGCGUCCGCCUGGAUCGCUCCAGCUCUGAGCCAGCCCAUCCUCCCGUGCCUUCACCUGCGCAGCGUCCCCGGGAGGUUCCUCCUCGGCACCUGGGGCUCUUCCCAGCAAGGCUCUGGCUGGUGGCAGCUUCAGCCAAAACCUCAAAUCCCUGGAAAACACAGGGAAAAACAGGGG